AGCGUAGACGGAAUGGCAAGUCUGAUGUGAAAGGCCGGGGCUCAACCCCGGGACUGCAUUGGAAACUGUUGGUCUUGAGUGCCGGAGAGAUAAGCGGAAUUCCUAGUGUAGCGGUGAAAUGCGUAGAUAUUAGGAGGAACACCAGUGGCGAAGGCGGCUUACUGGACGGUAACUGACGUUGAGGCUCGAAAGCGUGGGGAGCAAACA
rnacentral:rRNA from 1 species